rnacentral:tRNA from 1 species
UGUGGUUCAGUGGUAAGGAAUCUGCCUGCAAUGCAGGAAGCACAGGUUCGAUUCCUGGUCA